rnacentral:rRNA from 1 species
UACAGAGGGGGCAAGCGUUAUUCGGAAUUAUUGGGCGUAAAGGGCGCGUAGGCGGUGCGGUAAGUCUGCGGUGAAAUCUCCCGGCUCAACUGGGAGGCUGCCGUGGAAACUGCCGUGCUUGAGUGUGGGAGAGGUGAGUGGAAUUCCCGGGUGUAGCGGUGAAAUGCGUAGAUAUCGGGAGGAACACCUGUGGCGAAAGCGGCUCACUGGACCACAACUGACGCUG